rnacentral:rRNA from 1 species
CAAUAGCGUAUAUUUAAGUUGCUGCAGUUAAAAAGCUCGUAGUUGGAUUUCGGGUGGGAAUGGCCGGUCCGCCGUUUCGGUUUGCACUUGCUACGCCCACCUUGCUGCCGGGGACGUGCUCUUGAGUUCACGCUCGGGACACGGAGUCGGCGAGGUUACUUUGAGUAAAUUAGAGUGUUCAAAGCAGGCCUACGCUCUGAAUACAUUAGCAUGGAAUAACACGAUAGGACUCUGGCCUAUCUUGUUGGUCUGUAGGACCGGAGUAAUGAUUAAGAGGGACAGUCGGGGGCAUUCGUAUUUCAUUGUCAGAGGUGAAAUUCUUGGAUUUAUGAAAGACGAACUACUGCGAAAGCAUUUGCCAAGGAUGUUUUCAUUAA